rnacentral:rRNA from 1 species
CCUACGGGGUGCAGCAGUGGGGAAUAUUGGACAAUGGGCGAAAGCCUGAUCCAGCCAUGCCGCGUGUGUGAAGAAGGCCUUCGGGUUGUAAAGCACUUUCAGUGGGGAAGAAAGCCUUGGGGCUAAUACCCUCGAGGAAGGACAUCACCCACAGAAGAAGCACCGGCUAACUCCGUGCCAGCAGCCGCGGUAAUACGGAGGGUGCGAGCGUUAAUCGGAAUUACUGGGCGUAAAGCGCGCGUAGGCGGUCUGAUAAGCCGGUUGUGAAAGCCCCGGGCUCAACCUGGGAACGGCAUCCGGAACUGUCAGGCUAGAGUGCAGGAGAGGAAGGUAGAAUUCCCGGUGUAGCGGUGAAAUGCGUAGAGAUCGGGAGGAAUACCAGCGGCGAAGGCGGCCUUCUGGACUGACACUGACGCUGAGGUGCGAAAGCGUGGGUAGCAAACAGGAUUAGAUACCCUGGUAGUC